UGGGGANUAUUGCACAAUGGGGGAAACCCUGAUGCAGCGACGCCGCGUGGAGGAUGACGGCCUUCGGGUUGUAAACUCCUUUUGUCAGGGACAAUGGUGAUGGUACCUGACGAAUAAGCCACGGCUAACUCUGUGCCAGCAGCCGCGGUAAGACAGAGGUGGCGAGCGUUGUUCGGAAUUACUGGGCUUAAAGGGCGCGUAGGCGGUGGUGUAAGUCUGGGGUGGAAUGCUACAGCUCAACUGUAGAGCUGCCUUGGAAACUGCAUUACUUGAGUCGGUGAGGGGAAGGCGGAAUUCCUGGUGUAGCGGUGAAAUGCGUAGAUAUCAGGAGGAAGGUCUGUGGCGAAGGCGGCCUUCUGGCACUUGACUGACGCUGAGGCGCGAAAGCGUGGGGAGCAAACAGGAUUAGAUACCCUGGUAGUCCACGCCCUAAACGGUGGGUAUUAGGUGUGGGGCCUUCAUGGGUUCCGUGCCGUAGCGAAAGCAUUAAAUACCCCGCCUGGGGAGUACGGCCGCAAGGUUGAAACUCAAAGGAA
rnacentral:rRNA from 1 species